CCAGGACUAAACCAGGUCUAAACCAGGACUAAACCAGGACUAAACCAGGACUAAACCAGGACUAAACCAGGACUAAACCAGGACUAAACCAGGACUAAACCAGGUCUAAACCAGGAUUAAACCAGGUCUAAACCAGGUCUGAAUGUGAUUCUUGGAUCAGUUUCUCCGUUUUGUUUCUCAGUUUUUAAACUUUUCAGUUUUCAGUUGGUUUUAAAAUAUGAGUUUGUAAAAUAAUAAUAAUAAAACUCUUCUCUGGUCGAUGUCUGCGACUCGGACCUGGACUCAGACUUGUUCAGCGUUUUUCCAGUUAAACGGCUCAAAUUAGAAUCUUUCCUCGUUUCCUCGUCACAAACAAAACAGACCUGGAGUUGAGUUUUGGUUCGUUCCAAACAUGAGUCCGGGUCGUCGGGUAAAAUCCCCUUCAAGAACUGACGAAGCAGCAAGAAUUUUGUUUUUUUCCGACUCCUGUUCUGUUUGUGACGAGGAAACGACUUUCUAACAUCCAAAUCCAAAUCCAGUUUAUUUAUGAAGCACCAAACUGACCAAAGUGCUGAACACAGAUAAAAACAUAAAUAUAUUCAACAGUUAUUGGAUUAUUGUAUUUAUAACUUCAGUUCUCCGUGCACCUUUAAUUACAACUGUUAUUUGUUUGUUUGUUUGAGAUAUUUUGACUUUGUACUUUGUAGAAAAAUAAACUGCACCAAACCACA